rnacentral:tRNA from 1 species
CAGGGUAUAGUUAAGAUAGUAAAACACCUCCCUUACACUGAGACCUCAUCCGUGCAAGUCGGAUUACCCUGA